rnacentral:misc_RNA from 1 species
AAAAAAAAAAAAAAAGGAACAGUAGGAACAUAAACUAAAGGAAGCUUAAAUUGAAACAAGUGCUUAUUAUAUCUAGAACUCAUCAUUCAAGCUUCCAUAUCAUUGCUAAAUAUUAUGGGAGCUUCACAUGAAAGCAUUAGCACUAGAACCAUCUCGUUUUCACCAUUAUAAUAUUGGGCAGUCAGUUCCCACUUGUUUAUCACUCCAAUAUCUACAUUGCUACUCUUUAUUUUAGGUUGGGUUCUGUGAACUCCGUCAAGGAGGUUGAGGAAGCUGAGUUUCUUGGAUUUUUGUUUCGUUUAUUAAAUAAUUUUUGUUUUGUAGAGAUAUAAACAACAUGCGUCUUAGUAUAUUUCAGCAGACUGAUAAACAUGAUCUGUGCUCACUGACUAUAGUUUUACAUUCCACAUUAAAACUCAACUCGACUCAAUUAAGCCUUUAUCCUAAA